rnacentral:sRNA from 1 species
UCACAAAUUAGUGAGGGAGCUUUUUUCAGUUGUAGUCUCAAUCUAGUUAGACAGCACUUUAUUGGUAAUAACUAUAUAAAACAGUAGUUAU